rnacentral:rRNA from 1 species
CCUACGGGAGGCAGCAGUGGGGAAUAUUGGACAAUGGGGGCAACCCUGAUCCAGCCAUGCCGCGUGUGUGAAGAAGGCCCUCGGGUUGUAAAGCACUUUCAGUGAGGAAGAACGCCUGGUGGUUAAUACCCAUCAGGAAAGACAUCACUCACAGAAGAAGCACCGGCUAACUCCGUGCCAGCAGCCGCGGUAAUACGGAGGGUGCGAGCGUUAAUCGGAAUUACUGGGCGUAAAGCGCGCGUAGGUGGCUUGAUAAGCCGGUUGUGAAAGCCCCGGGCUCAACCUGGGAACGGCAUCCGGAACUGUCAAGCUAGAGUGCAGGAGAGGAAGGUAGAAUUCCCGGUGUAGCGGUGAAAUGCGUAGAGAUCGGGAGGAAUACCAGUGGCGACGGCGGCCUUCUGGAAUGACACUGACAAUGAGGUGCGAAAGCGUGGGUAGCAAACAGGAUUAGAUACCCUGGUAGUC